rnacentral:rRNA from 1 species
UUGGAGGGCAAGUCUGGUGCCAGCAGCCGCGGUAAUUCCAGCUCCAAUAGCGUAUAUUAAAGUUGUUGCAGUUAAAAAGCUCGUAGUUGAAUUUCGGAACUCAUCCGUCGGUCGGGCUUAACUGUCCGUACUGGUGUGAUGGGUUCCUACCUUCUGAAUAACCGGCAUGCCAUUAAUUUGGUGCGCCGGGGAAGCAGGACUGUUACCUUGAAAAAAUUAGAGUGCUUAAAGCAGGCUAUCGCCUGAAUACAUUAGCAUGGAAUAAUGAAAUAGGACGGCAUGGUUCUAUUUUGGUGGUUUCUAGGAUCACCGUAAUGAUUAAUAGGGAUAGUUGGGGGCAUUAGUAUUCAAUUGUCAGAGGUGAAAUUCUUGGAUUUAUUGAAGACUAACUUCUGCGAAAGCAUUUGCCAAGGAUGUUUUCAUUAAUCAAGAACGAAAGUUAGGGGAUCGAAGACGAUCAGAUACCGUCGUAGUCUUAACCAUAAACUAUGCCGACUAGGGAUCGGACGAUGUUAAUUUUUUAAUGACUCGUUCGGCGCCUUACGGGAAAC